GACAGAGGGGGCAAGCGUUGCUCGGAAUUCCUGGGCGUAAAGGGCGCGUAGGCGGGAUGGCAAGUCGGUCGUGAAAUCCCUCGGCUCAACCGAGGAAUGUCGAUCGAUACUGCUGUUCUUGAGGAUUGCAGAGGAGACUGGAAUUCCCGGUGUAGCGGUGAAAUGUGUAGAGAUCGGGAGGAACACCGGUGGCGAAGGCGGGUCUCUGGGCAAUUCCUGACGCUGAGGCGCGAAAGCGUGGGGAGCAAACGGG
rnacentral:rRNA from 1 species